AAACUUGGAUUAAUGCCCCGUAGUACCGUAUUUCGGCAUCGUUAUACGGUUAAAGCCUUCGGGCGGUACAAGAUGGCCAUGCGUCCCAUUAGCUUGUUGGUAAGGUAACGGCUUACCAAGGCUACGAUGGGUAGGGGCCCUGAGAGGGGGAUCCCCCACACUGGUACUGAGACACGGACCAGACUCCUACGGGAGGCAGCAGUGAGGAAUAUUGGACAAUGGAGGAGACUCUGAUCCAGCCAUGCCGCGUGCAGGAAGAAUGCCCUAUGGGUAGUAAACUGCUUUUAUACGGGAAGAAAAAGAGCUACGUGUAGCUUACUGACGGUACCGUAAGAAUAAGGACCGGCUAACUCCGUGCCAGCAGCCGCGGUAAUACGGAGGGUCCGAGCGUUAUCCGGAAUUAUUGGGUUUAAAGGGUCCGUAGGCGGGCCGAUAAGUCAGGGGUGAAAGUCUGCCGCUCAACGGUAGAACUGCCUUUGAUACUGUCGGUCUUGAGUUAUAGUGAAGUUGCCGGAAUAUGUAGUGUAGCGGUGAAAUGCAUAGAUAUUACAUAGAACACCGAUUGCGAAGGCAGGUGACUAACUAUAUACUGACGCUGAUGGACGAAAGCGUGGGGAGCGAACAGGAUUAGAUACCCUGGUAGUCCACGCCGUAAACGAUGGAUACUAGCUGUCCGGAACCUUGAGUUCUGGGCGGCCAAGCGAAAGUGAUAAGUAUCC
rnacentral:rRNA from 1 species